UACGUAGGUGGCAAGCGUUGUCCGGAUUUAUUGGGUUUAAAGGGUGCGUAGGCGGCUUGAUAAGUCAGUGGUGAAAGCCGAUCGCUUAACGAUCGAACUGCCAUUGAUACUGCCAGGCUUGAGUAUAGUUGAGGUAGGCGGAAUUGACAGUGUAGCGGUGAAAUGCUUAGAUAUGACAUAGAACACCAAUUGCGAAGGCAGCUUACUACAGGAAUAUUGACACUGAUGCACGAAAGCGUGGGGAUCAAACAGG
rnacentral:rRNA from 1 species